UUAAGCGACUAAGCGUACACGGUGGAUGCCCUGGCAGUCAGAGGCGAUGAAGGACGUGCUAAUCUGCGAAAAGCGUCGGUAAGGUGAUAUGAACCGUUACAGCCGGCGAUGUCCGAAUGGGGAAACCCAGUGUGAUUCGUCACACUAUCGUUAACUGAAUACAUAGGUUAACGAGGCGAACCGGGGGAACUGAAACAUCUAAGUACCCCGAGGAAAAGAAAUCAACCGAGAUUCCCCCAGUAGCGGCGAGCGAACGGGGAGCAGCCCAGAGUCUGAAUCAGCUUGUGUGUUAGUGGAACGGUCUGGAAAGUCCGACGGUACAGGGUGAUAGUCCCGUACACCAAAAUGCACAGGCUGUGAACUCGAAGAGUAGGGCGGGACACGUGGUAUCCUGUCUGAAUAUGGGGGGACCAUCCUCCAAGGCUAAAUACUCCUGACUGACCGAUAGUGAACCAGUACCGUGAGGGAAAGGCGAAAAGAACCCCGGCGAGGGGAGUGAAAAAGAACCUGAAACCGUGUACGUACAAGCAGUGGGAGCACCUUCGGGUGUGACUGCGUACCUUUUGUAUAAUGGGUCAGCGACUUAUAUUCUGUAGCAAGGUUAACCGUAUAGGGGAGCCGCAGGGAAACCGAGUCUUAACUGGGCGUUAAGUUGCAGGGUAUAGACCCGAAACCCGGUGAUCUAGCCAUGGGCAGGUUGAAGGUUGGGUAACACUAACUGGAGGACCGAACCGACUAAUGUUGAAAAAUUAGCGGAUGACUUGUGGCUGGGGGUGAAAGGCCAAUCAAACCGGGAGAUAGCUGGUUCUCCCCGAAAGCUAUUUAGGUAGCGCCUCGUGAACUCAUCUUCGGGGGUAGAGCACUGUUUCGGCUAGGGGGUCAUCCCGACUUACCAACCCGAUGCAAACUACGAAUACCGAAGAAUGUUAUCACGGGAGACACACGGCGGGUGCUAACGUCCGUCGUGAAGAGGGAAACAACCCAGACCGCCAGCUAAGGUCCCAAAGUCAUGGUUAAGUGGGAAACGAUGUGGGAAGGCCCAGACAGCCAGGAUGUUGGCUUAGAAGCAGCCAUCAUUUAAAGAAAGCGUAAUAGCUCACUGGUCGAGUCGGCCUGCGCGGAAGAUGUAACGGGGCUAAACCAUGCACCGAAGCUGCGGCAGCGACACUAUGUGUUGUUGGGUAGGGGAGCGUUCUGUAAGCCUGUGAAGGUGGCCUGUGAGGGCUGCUGGAGGUAUCAGAAGUGCGAAUGCUGACAUAAGUAACGAUAAAGCGGGUGAAAAGCCCGCUCGCCGGAAGACCAAGGGUUCCUGUCCAACGUUAAUCGGGGCAGGGUGAGUCGACCCCUAAGGCGAGGCCGAAAGGCGUAGUCGAUGGGAAACAGGUUAAUAUUCCUGUACUUGGUGUUACUGCGAAGGGGGGACGGAGAAGGCUAUGUCAUCCGGGCGACGGUUGUCCCGGUUUAAGCAUGUAGGCUGGUUAUCCAGGCAAAUCCGGAUAAUCAAGGCUGAGGUGUGAUGACGAGGUACCACGGUACUGAAGUGACAGAUGCCCUGCUUCCAGGAAAAGCCUCUAAGCAUCAGGUAACAUCAAAUCGUACCCCAAACCGACACAGGUGGUCAGGUAGAGAAUACCAAGGCGCUUGAGAGAACUCGGGUGAAGGAACUAGGCAAAAUGGUGCCGUAACUUCGGGAGAAGGCACGCUGGU
rnacentral:rRNA from 1 species